GGAUCUGUGGCGCAAUGGUACCGCGUCUGACUCCGGAUCAGAAGGUUGUGUGUUCGCUUCACGUCGGGUUCA
rfam:Ipomoea nil DNA, scaffold: scaffold2280, cultivar: Tokyo-kokei standard.